rnacentral:rRNA from 1 species
GCACGUAGGCGGACUAUUAAGUCAGGGGUGAAAUCCCGGGGCUCAACCCCGGAACUGCCUCUGAUACUGGUAGUCUAGAGUUCGAGAGAGGUGAGUGGAAUUCCGAGUGUAGAGGUGAAAUUCGUAGAUAUUCGGAGGAACACCAGUGGCGAAGGCGGCUCACUGGCUCGAUACUGACGCUGAGGUGCGAAAGUGUGGGGAGCAAACAGGAUUAGAUACCCUGGUAGUCC